UGGGAUAAAAGACCAUAUGACAACUACCUCCAUCUGAACAUAGAGAAAACAAAAGAACUUGUCUUUAACGCACCAAACACUGGACUGCGUCCCAUCUCCAUCAGCUCAACAAAUUCAAAUGCCUUGGACUCACUUUAGACAACGUCAGUUUUGAUCAACAGGUCACAGAUAUUCAUAAAAAAUCUUAGCGAAGAUUACAUCAUGUCAUCUGUAAACUCUGAUUACUUUCUG